rnacentral:rRNA from 1 species
AGUGAACGCUGGCGGUAGGCCUAACACAUGCAAGUCGAACGGCCGCACAGUAAGAGCUUGCUCUUACGGGUGGCGAGUGGCGGACGGGUGAGGAAUACAUCGGAAUCUACUUUUUCGUGGGGGAUAACGUAGGGAAACUUACGCUAAUACCGCAUACGACCUACGGGUGAAAGCAGGGGAUCUUCGGACCUUUCGCGAUUGAAUGAGCCGAUGUCGGAUUAGCUAGUUGGCGGGGUAAAGGCCCACCAAGGCGACGAUCCGUAGCUGGUCUGAGAGGAUGAUCAGCCACACUGGAACUGAGACACGGUCCAGACUCCUACGGGAGGCAGCAGUGGGGAAUAUUGGACAAUGGGCGCAAGCCUGAUCCAGCCAUACCGCGUGGGUGAAGAAGGCCUUCGGGUUGUAAAGCCCUUUUGUUGGGAAAGAAAAGCAGCAGGUUAAUACCCCGCUGUUCUGACGGUACCCAAAGAAUAAGCACCGGCUAACUUCGUG